AGCACCACUGACUGGAGUGCCCCAGCAUGUCCCCGUGCGCCUUGUCACUGUGGACGGCGGGGGGGCCUUGGUGGAGGUGACAGAGCAUGUCGGCUGCGAGUCUGCCAACACACAGGUCCUGCAGGUGUCUGAGGCCUGUGAUGCCGUGUUCGUGCUGAAGGGUGAGUGGAGGCCUGAGGAAGCUGGCAGGCCUUGGCGAGUCACACUGGGACGGAGAGGGCGCAGGGGACACAGCCAUGGGCCCAAGUCGGGGUCAGAAAAACUGCCCUGUUGCUUGCAGUUCCUUCUGCCCACCUCCACCCUGGGCCGCCCAGCCAAUGAUCGCUUUCUGUGAAAUUGCUGACUUCCGCAUCCCUCUCCUCCUUCCCUGCCUCACUUCUCCCGUAGCACCCUCCACUUCCUAAUCUACGUCAGUACUGGUU
rnacentral:lncRNA from 1 species